rnacentral:misc_RNA from 1 species
UGGAGAUCCACGAUACGAUCACUGGGGGAGAGGAGAAGACGUUGGAGAAGAUGAAUGGCAAAUUUCCCAUGGAUUGGUUGUCGGACAUGGCGACAAAUCGAAAAAUUUGCAAGGCGGCAAAACCCAAAAACCGAUUACAAAGACAAGAAAGUCUAGAAAAGAUAAGAAGAAAAGCAAAAAGAAACAAACUGCUACGGGCAAGAAAAGGAAACAAUCGAGCCUGUGCCCUGAUUUCAGUAAAAGCUACGCAGAGCAUUUACUGCAGCAAAAAG